AUCUCCUGCUCGUCCGAGUGUGGCGGACAAAUUCAUUUUCCCCUUAUCUCCGUCUCCAUCCUCUAGCUGGCUGGAAGCUGACGCUUUGAAUCGCGAAAUUCUCAUGGUAUCGACCUCUCCGCUGAAAAGUCACCUAUCAAUGCGAAGCAGUGACAGUAAGGAUGAGAUCGCUGAAGGAAGCUACCAACCUCAAACGCCGGAACUAAAAGUUGUGCCACCAGCCUUUCGCACUGAAGAAGAAUUCGCAGAGUCUUCGCCCAGUAGUAUCAUCAGCGAGCCCCUGCCUGCGGAUCCCAAGGUUAGAUUUACAAGAACAGCAUUUUGUUCUGACUCUCUCGUGCAGGCUGGAGAUCUGGAGCAAAUAAACAUGCUCAAGCAGCAGUUACAAAAUGCCAUCGUGGCUGCAAACAAAGCAAAAGAAUCUGCCGACGCUGAAACACUACGGAGCCAGGAAGCUCGCGAGAACGCUGAUUGGGCUUUAAAACGGGUAAACUGGAGAUGCUAUCGUCAAAAGUCUUACGAUUUCAUGGCAUUCCAGGCGGAAAUAUUGAUGCGAGCGGUCGAGGAGGACAAUCAGCGAGAGUAUAACGCAGCAAAGAAAUUAGAUGAGGAAUCGCAGAAGCGUGCUGAAGCUCUCACGCUUGUCAACUCGAUGAAAAAAGCACUGGUGGACGAAAUCCGGAGAAGGAAGGAAAUGGAAAACAGGAUAGAGCUCCAAUGUAAAGCAGAAGCUGAGAGAGAGGCCAACAGGCAACAACUGCUCAAGUACACACAAUUCACGUUUGAGGAACUCCGAGACAUCACAGACAACUUUUCUGAGAACAACAAAAUAGGAGAGGGAUCAUACGGUCACGUCUACAAAGGCACUCUCCACAGGACCAACGUAGCAGUCAAGGUUCUAAGACAUGAUAGUUGGCAAGGACCACAAGAGUUCGAACAAGAGGUACGUAAACUCACUCGAAUUUCUAAAAUCUCUAACAAGCAUGGGAAAAUAAAGGUGGAAGUGCUGAGCCGACUACACCAUCCUCACAUCGUUCUACUGCUAGGCGGAAAUCCGGAAAAGAAAUGCCUUGUCUACGAGUACCUGGAAAACGGGAGCUUGGAAGAUCGACUGUUCUGCAAGGACGACUCGCCGCCAAUCUCAUGCCUCACGAGGUACCAGAUUGCGGUGGAAGUCGGCACAGCGCUCCUCUUCCUCCACAAGGCAAAGCCACAGCCGAUCGUGCUCCGGGACCUCAAGCCUUCCAACAUCCUGCUAGACAAAAACUACAACAGUAAGAUCAGCGACGUUGGGUUGGCAAGAUUCAUGCCAGGCGACGCGACAAGCGUGAGGAGCACAUCACCUGUGGGAACGUUCGCGUACAUCGAUCCGGAGUACCAGCGGGAAGGCAGCUUCAAUGCAAAGUCGGACGUGUUUGCGUUUGGGAUCAUCCUGCUCCAGCUCCUCACCGCGACGAGCCCGGUUG
rnacentral:lncRNA from 1 species